GCGGAAGUAACUCAAUUGAUAGAGCGUCAGCCUUCCAAGCUGAAAGUUGCGGGUUUGAGCCCCGUCUUCCGCU
rnacentral:tRNA from 1 species